AUGAUAGAUGUGAUCAGAAGGAAGCGACUGAGUCAGAUAGACUUAUGCAGCACCAGCCACACAGUCACUACAGAGGCCCACGAGGAACAAGUGGACAAGAAGAGGAACAUCAAGGACCUCAACUCAUCCAGUGACAGAGCCGCGAGAGUGUGCACAUACUCAGGCAGCAGCAGUGACACCGAGACAGAGUCUGAAGGGAACACGCUAGGCUCCACCCAAAGCACUCUUACCAACAGAGCAAAGACGAGCAACCAAGUUGACUAUGAAGAGAAGACAAUGAAGAGGAGCAGUGUGGGAAAGUUCCCGUCAAUCAUGGACUACUAUCAACAUGACAUGUUCUCUCACAUAGAGAAGGAUGACCACAGGAGGAGUUUCUCCCAAUACAACUUGUUGCACAACCAGUCAUCGCUAGAGGGAAAAGCAGGAGACAGACUAAGCAAAGGGAAUCAAGUGGACAUGACAACAGGCGGCUGCGGAGGGGGGGUCCAGGUCGGCUCCAGAGCCGUGUCCUUGGAGUCCCUGAACAAGCUGAACAGCAGUGGGCUGGGGCUGUACCCGGAGACAGAGCUAAGGCCCAGUAGCGGUGACUGCUCCUGUUCCGCAGGGGAGAGAGAAGAGGACUGCUGCAGCAGGGUUGACAACGAGCCCUCGUCGUCCAGCUACUACUCCAACAAGCCCGGGGCGGAGCGUGUGGGUUCUCUCAGCGAUUCGCUCUACGACAGCUUCUCCUCAUGCACCAGUCAAGGCUCCAACGAUGUGUAG
ensembl:lncRNA